CGUCUUCUCUCUCCACGGCCGUCGCUAAAUAAUAGGGAGCCGGCAGACCCCUCGGUCCAUCUCGGCUGCUCCAUCCACCCCCAUCCGACGGCUCGCUCCGUCCACCUCUUGCUGCCCCUCCACGGCUCCACCUACCUCCAUCUGCUUCUCGUCAGCGUCCGCCAGGAACGGUACUGAUGGAACAUGGCCAUUAAACAACAACAACAACAACAACAACAACAACAACAACAACAACAACAACAACAACGCCUUUAGUCCCAAACAAGUUGGGGUAUGCUAGAGGUGAAACCCAUAAAAACUCGCAACCAACUCAUGGUUCUGGCACAUGGAUAGCAAGCUUCCAUGCAGCCCUGUCCAUGGCUAGUUCUUUGGUGAUAUUCCAGCCCUUCAGAUCUCUCUUUACGGACUCCUCCCAUGUCAAGUUUGGUCUACCCCGACCUCUCUUGACAUUUCCAGCACGCUUUAUCCGUCCGCUAUGCACUGGAGCAUCUGGAGGCCUGCGCUGGAUAUGCCCAAACUAUCUUAAACGAUGCUGGACAAGCUUCUCUGCAAUCGGUGCUACCCCAACUCUGUCUCGAAUAUCAUCAUUCCGGACGCGGUCCCUCCUUGUGUGGCCACACAUCCACCUCAACAUGCGCAUCUCCGCCACACCUAACUGUUGAACAUGUCGCCUUUUAGUCGGCCAACACUCAGCGCCAUACAAUAUUGCGGGUCCAAUCGCCGUCCUAUAGAAUUUGCCUUUUAGCUUUUGUGGCACUCUUUUGUCACAAAGAAUGCCAGAAGCUUGGCGCCACUUCAUCCAUCCGGCUUUGAUUCGAUGGUUCACAUCUUCAUCGAUGUCCCCAGCCUUUUGCAGCAUUGACCCCAAAUAUCGAAAGGUGUCCUUCUGAGGCACUACCUGCCCAUCAAGGCUAACCUCCUCCUCCUCCUCCUCCUCGGACGUAGUAGUACUGAAACCGCACUUCAUGUACUCGGUUUUAGUUCUACUAAGUCUAAAACCUUUGGAUUCCAAGGUUUGUCUCCAAAGCUCUAACUUCCUAUUGACCCCCGUCCGACUAUCAUUGACUAGCACCACAUCAUCCGCAAAGAGCAUACACCAUGGGAUAUCUCCUUGUAUAUCCCUGGUGACCUCAUCCAUCACCAAAUCAAAAAGAUAAGGGCUCAAAGCUGACCCCUGGUUAGCUGAUUGUAAUUUGCUUCCUUUAUGAACCUUCCUGUUUGAAGAUGGCAGUGCUUUUGUUUCUUCCAAUCAUCUAGACACACGUUGCGUUCUCCCCCUCAUCUGUAACUGCAUGAUACACAGUCCAAUUUCUGGCUAACUAAACUGAUGCAUACUUACAAACACAGAUCACACAAGCGGAAUCUGCACAAUUGAGUAGGUAGUAGCCACCGUGGAAGGAGGUAUUGGAACGGGCAUGCGUGCAGAACAGCCACGCACAACACAGC
rnacentral:lncRNA from 1 species